rnacentral:tRNA from 2 species
NNGUCGUUAGCUCAGUUGGUAGAGCAGUUGACUUUUAAUCAAUUGGUCGCAGGUUCGAAUCCUGCACGACCCACCA